CAAUCUGGCCAGGCUCAUUCAGAGGUGGAAUCGCUUCAUUCUCACUCAACUGCAUCAAGAUAUGCAGGAGCUGGAAGUACCACAGGCUUAUCGAGGUGCUGGAGGCAGCUUUUGCUCAUCGGGGGACUCUGUUAUUGGGCAGCUCUUCAGCUGUGAGAUGGAGAACUGCAGCCUCUGCCGCUGUGGCAGUGAGACCGUGCGCGCCUCAUCCACCCUGCUUUUCACACUCUCCUACCCUGAUGGUAGCAGAAGUGGUGUACCCUGCAGCUCAGUUGGGAAGGCUCCCCAAAAUGUCCUGUAAUAUCAGGGAGAGGGUGUUGGGGACUAACUGUGGGUAGAGGGGAGAACCAGGAGUAAAGCAUCUAAUUUUCCCUCAGAUAAAACUGGGAAGAACUAUGACUUUGCUCA
rnacentral:sRNA from 1 species